CCAAAAAUAAAAAUAGUCAUCUGAAACGAACAAAAAUAAAAUUGGAAAUUUUAGGUUUUGUGAGUGAAAGAUGAAUACUUUUUACUGUACUUGUGUACACAAGUAC
rfam:Lactococcus lactis subsp. cremoris TIFN6 scaffold187.1_0, whole genome shotgun sequence.